rfam:Gossypium arboreum cultivar AKA8401 contig_110752_1, whole genome shotgun sequence.
UGUUAAAAAAUCCAUUCAUUUCUACUGUUAUAAGCUGGUAUGGCUAAAGAAUAAUCAAACAGUGAUACGUGGUGUGUCACAUAUACCUCAUGCUGACGUACAGGACCAGUUUCUAACGGUAGAAAUAGAUGAGAUUUUUAUUA